AAAAAGAGUAUAGAUUGAUAGUUAUAGGCAAAUGAUGAGGUGUGAAUAGCAAGCACGGUUGAGCAGGCAGGGGAAUGGGAUAAGGGAUAGGGGGAGGGAAUCGGUUAUUGUAAGAGAAGAAAGGUUUUCUCCAUAUUCAUGUGAUGUAAUUAAAUUUAGAGUUUCUUAUUUAUUUUUUUUGGAAUUUUAUGUGAUGAUUAAAUGGAUUAAUGUAUGUGAGUUUG
rnacentral:lncRNA from 1 species